rnacentral:tRNA from 1 species
GUACCCUUAGCUUAAAUGGUGAAAGCACCUGGCUCAUACCCAGGGGAUUGAAGGUUCAAAUCCUUCAGGGUACA